AGUAACGCGUGAGUAACCUGCCUUUCAGAGGGGAGUAACGUUCUGAAAAGAACGCUAAUACCGCAUAAGAUUGUAGCUUCGCAUGGAGCAGCAAUCAAAGGAGCAAUCCGCUGAAAGAUGGACUCGCGUCCGAUUAGAUAGUUGGCGGGGUAACGGCCCACCAAGUCGACGAUCGGUAGCCGGACUGAGAGGUUGAUCGGCCACAUUGGGACUGAGACACGGCCCAG
rnacentral:rRNA from 1 species